rnacentral:rRNA from 1 species
UACAGAGGGGGCAAGCGUUGUUCGGAAUUACUGGGCGUAAAGGGCGCGUAGGCGGCCUUCUAAGUCGAACGUGAAAUCCCCGGGCUCAACCCGGGAACUGCGUCCGAUACUGGAAGGCUUGAAUCCGGGAGAGGGAUGUGGAAUUCCCAGUGUAGCGGUGAAAUGCGUAGAUAUUGGGAGGAACACCAGUGGCGAAGGCGGCUCACUGGACCGGAACUGACGCUGAGGCGCGAAAGCGUGGGGAGCAAACGGG